GGUUCCUGUUUGGUGAAGCUUUUCCCUGUGAACCUGGAACCUUCAGAUACAGCCAUUGCUCCAGGGACUACCUGCCCACCAGCACUAUGUUAGCUCCAGUCAGCAAGUUGGAAGUCACAGACUUGACAGGCAACCAUACAGGGAGAUGGAUGUCAUUUGUUUCUUUAACUUACUGUCAGCCUGUGGCCACCUUCAUAUGUUCUCUCUGCUGAGCAGAUGGAGGUAACUGUCUGUUGUCAUGCAGUGCUUCAUUUCUCACUGACUAUCCAGUGUCUCAUGGAAAAUCUCCUCAAAGCUACUAUCUCAGAAUCUGUAAAUGUCCCAGCAGGGCUUCUUGGACAUGUCAGCAAGGUUGAGCAAUAGAUUUAUUUCUAAGAAUCGUGAACAUUGCUACUUCAUGUACCAGGGCAUAUUUGGCCCCUUCUGUGGUACCGGUGGGAUUGAAAUGGUCUCAUUCACACAACAGCCACUCUUCUCAAGAGAAUAUAAAACCUCCCAAACUGAAAAGGAAGCAAUUGACAUUUGCCAAGUUCAUGUGAAAAUGAUAAUUUAUUGUCAGGAGACAAGGAAGCCACUGGAGCAAGCUAUCCAAAGAAAGUUGUCGGAAACACUGACUCCUGAUGAGGCAGGUCAAACCUAAUCAUCUCUUUCAACUUCAACACCUAUGCAGUUAUGGUGAAACACAGGAAAGAGCUCAGAACUCUUCUUUCACUGCGAGCAAGAUACAAGCAAGAGGACAUGACCACAAGCAGUGUUACUCAGGAAGUGCCAGUUGAAUCUCCCGUCUCCUUGCAGUUUUCUCCUCACGAAUUCCCCAAUGGGCAUCAUGACUGCACUGAUCUUGAACAGAGGCUUUUAUGGCUUUGUCCAAAAUGACUGGGCAUUGUGUAGUACCCUAUGCCAAAAUCAACCUCUAGAACUUUAAUAAUUUACUGAAAAUGUGUUAAAUGUGCCCCAAGAGAAUGUGCAGCUGAGAAAAUCUCACACUCUGUGAAGCAGUAAAUUUUGCUGUAAUCAA